rnacentral:rRNA from 1 species
UACGGAGGAUCCGAGCGUUAUCCGGAUUUAUUGGGUUUAAAGGGAGCGUAGGUGGAUUGUUAAGUCAGUUGUGAAAGUUUGCGGCUCAACCGUAAAAUUGCAGUUGAAACUGGCAGUCUUGAGUACAGUAGAGGUGGGCGGAAUUCGUGGUGUAGCGGUGACAUGCUUAGAUAUCACGAAGAACUCCGAUUGCGAAGGCAGCUCACUGGACUGCAACUGACACUGAGGCUCGAAAGUGUGGGUAUCAAACAGG